rnacentral:lncRNA from 1 species
GUUUACGUUAAUGGAAAGGGUGACAUGUAUAAAUUUUCGAUAUUUGGUUCAGUGUUGAUUAAAGAUAUUUUAAAGUUGAUGUCGAAAUUAAUCUAAUGUAUUGUUUUGUCUUGGUUAAUGUGACUGUUGAGAAUCUGCUCUCACAUAAAUAAGUGGAAGGAACAGAAAAAUAAAUCCUUGUAUUCGCUAUUGAUGUAAAUCCAAAAUUUAGCAAGUGAUGGAUUUUCUUCGCAGAACCCCGAAAAUUCAUCCAUGGAACACAGCUUGAGAAAUAUGGCUCUAGUGGUUAGCUUGUCUCACUAUUGUUUUGUUUAAUUAUACUAAAACAUACCUGUAAUCUAUAAUCACUUCUGUAUAUGCUGUACAUAAAAUUUUUUGUUGUUGUUGAAUUAUUGACAUUUGUAAUUUCUUUUUUGAUUAGUAUGUUUAUGUUAAUUCUAUUUCUGCUAGGGAUCUGUCACACUCCUUAUGGCAGAAACGUUAGUUCUUUUCUUAUGCUCUCUUUCCUCCUCUUAUUUUUUUUCAUCCUUCAUUCAUGUACAUUUAUUCUCUCUUUAAAUUAAUAUAUAUAUAUACAGUUGAACCUCGAUAAAUCGAACCUCUAUUACUCGAAUUUUCGAUAAGUCAAAGCAAUUCUCGUUUUCCGAAUGGC